AUUGAACGCUGGCGGCAUGCCUUACACAUGCAAGUCGAACGGCAGCACGGGAGCAAUCCUGGUGGCGAGUGGCGAACGGGUGAGUAAAGCAUCGGAACGUGCCCAGUCGUGGGGGAUAACGUAGCGAAAGCUACGCUAAUACCGCAUACGAUCUGUGGAUGAAAGCGGGGGACCGUAAGGCCUCGCGCGAUUGGAGCGGCCGAUGUCAGAUUAGGUAGUUGGUGAGGUAAAGGCUCACCAAGCCGACGAUCUGUAGCUGGUCUGAGAGGACGACCAGCCACACUGGGACUGAGACACGGCCCAGACUCCUACGGGAGGCAGCGGUGGGGAAUUUUGGACAAUGGGCGCAAGCCUGAUCCAGCAAUGCCGCGUGCAGGAUGAAGGCCUUCGGGUUGUAAACUGCUUUUGUACGGAGCGAAACGGCUUCCACUAAUACUGGGGGCUAAUGACGGUACCGUAAGAAUAAGCACCGGCUAACUACGUGCCAGCAGCCGCCGCAGUAA
rnacentral:rRNA from 1 species